AUAGGGGAGCCGUAGGGAAACCGAGUCUUAACCGGGCGUUAAGUUGCAGGGUAUAGACCCGAAACCCGGUGAUCUAGCCAUGGGCAGGUUGAAGGUUGGGUAACACUAACUGGAGGACCGAACCGACUAAUGUUGAAAAAUUAGCGGAUGACUUGUGGCUGGGGGUGAAAGGCCAAUCAAACCGGGAGAUAGCUGGUUCUCCCCGAAAGCUAUUUAGGUAGCGCCUCGUGAAUUCAUCUUCGGGGGUAGAGCACUGUUUCGGCUAGGGGGUCAUCCCGACUUACCAACCCGAUGCAAACUGCGAAUACCGGAGAAUGUUAUCACGGGAGACACACGGCGGGUGCUAACGUCCGUCGUGAAGAGGGAAACAACCCAGACCGCCAGCUAAGGUCCCAAAGUCAUGGUUAAGUGGGAAACGAUGUGGGAAGGCCCAGACAGCCAGGAUGUUGGCUUAGAAGCAGCCAUCAUUUAAAGAAAGCGUAAUAGCUCACUGGUCGAGUCGGCCUGCGCGGAAGAUGUAACGGGGCUAAACCAUGCACCGAAGCUGCGGCAGCGACACUGUGUGUUGUUGGGUAGGGGAGCGUUCUGUAAGCCUGCGAAGGUGGCCUGUGAGGGUUGCUGGAGGUAUCAGAAGUGCGAAUGCUGACAUAAGUAACGAUAAAGCGGGUGAAAAGCCCGCUCGCCGGAAGACCAAGGGUUCCUGUCCAACGUUAAUCGGGGCAGGGUGAGUCGACCCCUAAGGCGAGGCCGAAAGGCGUAGUCGAUGGGAAACAGGUUAAUAUUCCUGUACUUGGUGUUACUGCGAAGGGGGGACGGAGAAGGCUAUGUUGGCCGGGCGACGGUUGUCCCGGUUUAAGCGUGUAGGUGUGUGUUCCAGGUAAAUCCGGUUCACUUUAACACUGAGGCGUGAUGACGAGGCACUACGGUGCUGAAGCAACAAAUGCCCUGCUUCCAGGAAAAGCCUCUAAGCAUCAGGUAACAUCAAAUCGUACCCCAAACCGACACAGGUGGUCAGGUAGAGAAUACCAAGUCGCUUGAGAGAACUCGGGUGAAGGAACUAGGCAAAAUGGUGCCGUAACUUCGGGAGAAGGCACGCUGACA
rnacentral:rRNA from 1 species